AGAGGUUUAGGUUACACAUUAGACCAAGAGCCUUCAAAGCUCUAAGCAAGUACAUUAUACUUAACCCCUG
rnacentral:tRNA from 1 species